rnacentral:tmRNA from 1 species
GGGGGUGUCAAGGUUUCGACUUGGGAACAAGGCGUGGGUGGCAUGCGGAGGAUCAUCGGUUGGCCUCCUAAAAAAUCCGAUGAAAACAAUAAUCGCAGACUCUAACGAGUGUGAGAUGCUCGCUGCAGCUUAACCGCUGCAUCGUUCCGGUGGCCUGAAAUCAGACCAAGAGUUUUAGAAUUCCACCGUCAUACAUCUUGGUAUGGACCCUGCAUUUCUCAAUUGUUUAGGCAGGAGUCCGAGAUUUAAGCAAUUGAGUUGCCCCCUAGCGGAGCGCCUUCCGGCAAGGGCAACUUAUAUAAAAAGGCACUAAGCAUGUAGUCACCAAUGAGGCGUUUGCCAAGGACGAGAGUUCAAUUCUCUCCACCUCCAAUU